rnacentral:tRNA from 1 species
UGUAUUAUGGUGUAAUAUGCACAUGAAAUUUUGAUUUUUAAGGAGCAGUUUAAUUCUGUUUAAUACAA